CGGGAAACGGAGCUAAUACCGGAUAAUAUUUCGAACCGCAUGGUUCGAUAGUGAAAGGUGGUUUUGCUAUCACUUAUAGAUGGACCCGCGCCGUAUUAGCUAGUUGGUAAGGUAACGGCUUACCAAGGCGACGAUACGUAGCCGACCUGAGAGGGUGAUCGGCCACACUGGAACUGAGACACGGUCCAGACUCCUGGGAGCAGCAGCA
rnacentral:rRNA from 1 species